AUUGAACGCUGGCGGCAGGCCUAACACAUGCAAGUCGAACGGCAGCACGGUACUUGCUUCUGCUUUCGGCGGGCGAGGGGUGGGUGAUGCCUAGAAACAUGCCUGGUUGUGGGUUCUAGCGUGCGAAAGCGGGCGCUCAUACCCCAUACGCGCAGAGGACCUACGGGGGGGAUCAUGGGAUCUUCCGCUCUUAGGUGAGCCUAGGUCGGAUUAGCGAGUUGGUGGGGUAAAGGCCUACCAAGGCGACGAUCCGUAACUGGUCUGAGAGGAUGAUCAGCCACACUGGAACUGAGACACGGUCCAGACUCCUACGGGAGGCAGCAGUGGGGAAUAUUGGACAAUGGGCGAAAGCCUGAUCCAGCCAUGCCGCGUGGGUGAAGAAGGCCUUCGGAUUGUAAAGCCCUUUUGGUGGGGAAGAAAAGCAGUAAGUUAAUACCUCGCUGUUCUGACGUUACCAAAAGAAUAAGCACCGGCUAACUUCGUG
rnacentral:rRNA from 1 species